UCGUAUCGCACAUUUGAGUCGUUCGUUAUCCGCAGGCCAGAUGGAUCGUGCCCAUGAUUGUGCGUGAUAGUGCCAGUGUUAAACCCACGUUCUUGGGGGCCAGUGGAAAAGGGCACGCCGACGCCAUUGAAAAAUCCUCCUGGCAACUAUUUGCAGCGUUUCCGAAUCGGAACAAUCAGCUUGAUUGGGAUUGAUUGGGACACAUGGCCCACUACCUCCGGAUUCGUACUGAAAAUAAGUGGCCUCGCACCUCUGGUAUCACGGAUAGAGACGCAUGCGACACUUUCCCGCUGACGACCGCACUAUAGCCUGCAACGAAACGGGCAUUGGCAACUUGUCAGUGGAACUACAUAUUCAGGCAAUAGAUAUCCGAACCUCAAAAUUAUUAUCCCUUCAGUGCCAGUAGCAUCGUGCACUCGGCGAAUAACGGGUUUCCGCAUCAAUCCGAACCGGUUGGUCAAAAAGGUCGGCGUCAGUGUCUAAUUGACUGUGAGACGGAAAAAUACCCUGAAAGGGGUGUUUUUUAGAUAGCUGCAGUCCGGAUUCGAUUAGCGGUGAGGCUCUGCCAGAAGCGGACCGUAACGAGGCAGUGAUCUCCACGAGAGCAGGAAGGCUGAAACCGGGACAGUCCGGGAAGCGUGGCAUCGACGGGCGGUCAUUCGGUCCUGCGUUUGUGAAAGGAGCCCAACGAGACCAGACGGGAAUUCGAGGCUUGUUCUCGCGCCACGACCACGCGCGGCGAGCGAAAGGCGGACGGACUCUUAAGAUAAAAAAAAUGUUAUCUUGGUUCAAGGAACCACCAUUUGCCAGGGAAAGCAUAGGGACAUAAAAUGUGCGUUUCAAUACACUGAUGUUAAGCUAAAA